CCGCUGAACUUAAGCAUAUCAAUAAGCGGAGGAAAAGAAACCAACAGGGAUUGCCCUAGUAACGGCGAGUGAAGCGGCAACAGCUCAAAUUUGAAACCUGGCGCUUGCGUCCGGAUUGUAAUUUGUAGAGGAUGCUUCUGGGCAGCGGCCGUUCUAAGUUCCUUGGAACAGGACGUCAUAGAGGGUGAGAAUCCCGUAUGUGACCGGCGCGCACCCUCCACGUAGCUCCUUCGACGAGUCGAGUUGUUUGGGAAUGCAGCUCUAAAUGGGAGGUAAAUUUCUUCUAAAGCUAAAUAUUGGCCAGAGACCGAUAGCGCACAAGUAGAGUGAUCGAAAGAUGAAAAGCACUUUGGAAAGAGAGUUAAAAAGCACGUGAAAUUGUUGAAAGGGAAGCGCUUCCAACCAGACUCCGCGGCGGUGUUCCGCCGGUCUUCUGACCGGUCCACUCGCCGCCGUGGGGCCAACAUCGUCUGGGGCCGCCGGAUAAGACCGGAGGAAUGUAGCUCAUUGAGUGUUAUAGCCUCCGGUGAUGCGGCGCGUCCCGGGCGAGGUCCGCGCUUCGGCAAGGAUGUUGGCGUAAUGGUUGGCAGCGGCCCGUCUUGAAACACGGACCAAGGAGUCUAACAUCUAUGCGAGUGUUCGGGUGUCAAACCCCUACGCGCAAUGAAAGUGAACGGAGGUGGGAGCUUCGGCGCACCAUCGACCGAUCCUGAUGUCCUCGGAUGGAUUUGAGUAAGAGCAUAGCUGUUGGGACCCGAAAGAUGGUGAACUAUGCCUGAAUAGGGUGAAGCCAGAGGAAACUCUGGUGGAGGCUCGCAGCGGUUCUGACGUGCAAAUCGAUCGUCAAAUUUGGGUAUAGGGGCGAAAGACUAAUCGAACCAUCUAGUAGCUGGUUCCUGCAGA
rnacentral:rRNA from 1 species